rnacentral:lncRNA from 7 species
GCGGUCAUCGCAGGCUCCUUGGGGCGUAUGGAUUCAACCACCACCGCGAAUUCCUCGACGUUUGACUUGGGGAUCCCCGCCUUCGUGAUUAAAAGCCCGGGCGCGCCGUGCUCUUCUCUCUGUUCGCGACCACCUCCAAGCUUUGACAGUAGACAUUGCCGCCGAGAAGUUGAGGAUUAGAGAGGAGAGAGAACAAGCGUCGCGACCACAACAUUCACUACACCCGCGCUCGGUUCGUGUGGCCGCUAAGGAAUCCGGAGCGGCGGAACUUUCUGGUGCGGCGGCGGAUCUUCUCGGUGCUCCCAUCACGUGGCGAGCCCUCCAGUCGUGCGCGCCGGCCUCGUCCUCGACUCUGCAG